AACCUCACCUGGCCCGGACACGGAAAGGAUUGACAGAUUUGAGAGCUCUUUCUCGAUUCUGUGGGUGGUGCAUGGCCAUUCUUAGUUAGUAGAGCGAUUUGUCUGGUUAAUUCUGAUAAUGAUCGAGACUCUGGCAUGCUAACUAGUUAUGCGACCCCCCGAGCAUGCCCAAAUAAAUCUGUUAGUCUUUAAAGUGCCACCGGACUCCUGGUAGUUUUUACCCUGGGGUUGUUUCUUUUGUCUUCCUCUGCAGAAUGGGUCACUUUCAGGUUUAAACUAGAGUAAAUGUUGGAUUUUCUGUAAGUUGAAGUCUUUAAAUCACGAUUUGAGGAGUUUAGUAACUCAGCCAGAGGUUAGG
rnacentral:ncRNA from 1 species